AUUGAACGCUGGCGGCAGGCUUAACACAUGCAAGUCGAACGGAACCUUCGGGUUUAGUGGCGAACGGGUGAGUAAUACCUAGGGAUCUGCCUAUUAGUGGGGGAGUAACGGCUCGAAAGGGUCGCUAAUACCGCAUACGUCCUACGGGAGAAAGAGGGGGAUCUUCGGACCUCUUGCUAAUAGAUGAGCCUAGGCCGGAUUAGCUAGUUGGUAGGGUAAAGGCCUACCAAGGCGACGAUCCGUAGCUGGUCUGAGAGGAUGAUCAGCCACACUGGGACUGAGACACGGCCCAGACUCCUACGGGAGGCAGCAGUGGGGGAAUAUUGGACAAUGGGCGAAAGCCUGAUCCAGCAAUGCCGCGUGAGUGAUGAAGGCCUUAGGGUUGUAAAGCUCUUUUACCAGGGAUGAUAAUGACAGUACCUGGAGAAUAAGCUCCGGCUAACUCCGUG
rnacentral:rRNA from 1 species